GGAUUGGUUACUCCUCUAGUAGCUAGACCGUUAUGACAACAGUGAAAUGCCCAACAGAUGUAGAGACAUGAUGUUAAAGGAUUGUGAUCUUCCAGUAAAGUUGAACCAGAAAAAGUAAAGGAAGACAAUAAGAGCUUUGAACAAAGACUUACACCCUCUCUUCUACCUGCUGUCCAACUAUCAGGAUGAAGUGGAUAUCCAGACAUUUUUGGAGUUUUUACAAGGAAUAAUGGGUAAGUUAUUUAUUUGAGUAUUUUUAAAGUGUUGAGUUAAUAUUAUAGCAGAUGUGUGUUUGGAGAUAUGUUUUUAUAAAAGGCCUGGUAUCUCCUUAUAUAUUUGCCAUAAUAGGACUUAACAUUUUUUUUUACCCAUGCAAACACUUUACAAAAUAUCCACUUUGUGUGAUACCCGAUUUACUGGAUCUGUAGUGGGCCGUAUUUUUUGCCCCAAGAUCUUGGUGAUUUUUUUUGUUUUUUUUUUUUUUUAAAUACUAAAUUUUCUAUAUAUAUAUAUA